UGCAGGUAUAAGCGAAUAAGCCACUGGACCACAAAUGGCCAUAUCACAGCAAAGGCCAAACUGGUCGGAGAGAUGUCGAAAGGCCACCAGGAGGGUUUCUAAGAAAGUGGAAAAUUGAUUUCACUUGUUCCUCAAACAGAGAAAGUCGUCCAAAGUGAUUCAAACCAGUAUAAAAUCCCUGUUAGGAUGACCUCACCUCUUCCUCUUCUGACCAAAGAGCUGUCCGGCGCACCUGCAUUCAGCCUCCGUCUCUGUGUCAUCCCUCCACCUUUCUCUCCAUCUUCCCCUCCACACCUGAUGAC